rnacentral:rRNA from 1 species
GAUGAACGCUGGCGGCGUGCCUAAUACAUGCAAGUCGAGCGAACAGACGAGGAGCUUGCUCCUCUGACGUUAGCGGCGGACGGGUGAGUAACACGUGGAUAACCUACCUAUAAGACUGGGAUAACUUCGGGAAACCGGAGCUAAUACCGGAUAAUAUAUUGAACCGCAUGGUUCAAUAGUGAAAGACGGUUUUGCUGUCACUUAUAGAUGGAUCCGCGCCGCAUUAGCUAGUUGGUAAGGUAACGACUUACCAAGGCAACGAUGCGUAGCCGACCUGAGAGGGUGAUCGGCCACACUGGAACUGAGACACGGUCCAGACUCCUACGGGAGGCAGCAGUAGGGAAUCUUCCGCAAUGGGCGAAAGCCUGACGGAGCAACGCCGCGUGAGUGAUGAAGGUCUUCGGAUCGUAAAACUCUGUUAUUAGGGAAGAACAAAUGUGUAAGUAACUAUGCACGUCUUGACGGUACCUAAUCAGAAAGCCACGGCUAACUACGUG